rnacentral:rRNA from 1 species
AAUCUGGUUGAUCCUGCCAGUAGUCAUAUGCUUUGUUCAAGGGCUAAGCCAUGCAUGUCUCAGCGCACACGGAAUUACAGUGGAUCUGUGAAUGGCUCCUUACAUCAGCAGUCAUCUCCAUGAUAGAGUGUGGAUGGCACCAACUCCCAGGUGCUCGCUUGGACAUCCUCCAAAACCUAGUGGCUAAUACACGUUCGAAAAGGUCUGCCAUAGCACAGUUCUGCUGGCAGUUCACUGUCUGGCUAGACUGGUGGUGGAUUGCACCCAGCUGCUGAGAAGACCAGCGCCUGGAAAGGCAGUGUGUCAUGGCUGACUCAGGCUGGUCCCCCUGGGACAUUUGCACUGGCAGAGUGGUGGCUUAUGCCACAGCAUUGCUUGAUCACACGAACUUCUGACCUAUCAGCUUGGAUUGUGGUGUAGUGGACCACAAUGGCAGUGACGGGUAACGGAGAAUCAGGGUUCGAUUCCGGAGAGGGAGCCUGAGAGACGGCUACCACUACCAAGGUGGGCAGCAGGCGCGCAAAUUGCCCAAUGCCAAGGCAGUGGUGAGGCAGCGACGAACUGCAGCAAUCCCGCCUGUCCUUUGUGACCAGUGGGACUUGUAAUGGAUGCAAUCCAAACACAGUGAUGAGUAUCAACUGGAGGGCAAGUCUGGUGCCAGCAGCUGCGGUAAUUCCAGCUCCAAGAGUGUAUACUAAUAUUGCUGCUGUUAAAACACUUGUAGUCGGAUGCUGGGUGUGGGUCUGCCAGGUGGCUGGUGGCUGGUGGUUGUGUCUGGUUCGCCAGGCAUGGCUGUCGGCUGCUGGAACUCAACCCCUGGCAGUAUGCUCCCACACCCGAACCUACAUGGUGAGAACUGCCCCUGCUCCAAGUCUCCUUCAGUGGGGAUCCAAGCGGUUUCACACUCAAAGCAUGUGUGCCUGACACCUGGGGGGCAUGGCCCAGUGCUGUGCAUUUCCCUCUGUCCACCACCGGGGUCCACCAGUGCUGUCACCCUGGAAAACUCAGUGUGCUCAAAGCAGCCUCUCGGCUGAAUGCCCGUCCAUGGAAUGUCAAAGUAUCGACCUGAUGUGGCUUUGGAGUUGUGCUGGCCUUGGUGCCCAUUCAGGAUAUUGUGGUGCUGUCCCCCAGUGGCUGUAGGGGUCACCCACGACCGGUGGCCCACUCAACUGCACUGCUGGUGGGUACAUGUACUGUAUCGGCCAUGAUGGGACUGCUCAGGGUGAAGGGUAUUGUAGCGCCAGAGGUGAAAUUCUUAGACCGCUGCAAGACCAACUGCAGCGAAGGCGCUUUGCAAGUGCAUGUCUGUCGAUCAAGAAUGAGAGUGUGGGGAGCGAAGAUGAUCAGACACCGUCGUAGUCCACAACUGUAAACUAUGCCGGCUCGACAUUGAGGGUGCAAGAUAAACUGACACCCCCAGUGUCAUACCCCCUACAACGAGAAAUCCAAGCCUGUGGGUUCAGGGGGGAGUACUGUCGCAAGGCUGAAACUUAAAGGAAUUGACGGAAUGGCACCACAAGGCGUGGAGUAUGCGGCUUAAUUUGACUCAACACGGGGAAUGUUACCAGGUCAGGACACUGCUGGGAUGGACAGAUUGAGAGCUCUUUCUUGAUUCUGUGGAUGGUGGUGCAUGGCCGCUCCUGAUUGGUGGAGUGAUUUGUCUGGUUGAUUCCGAUAACGAGUGAGAUAUCUGCCUCCCAAUAGCCCCAGACUCGCACUUGUAGGGUGGUCAUGGUGUGCCACCAGUGGGUUCGCUUGCUGGCUGGCCACCACUGAUGCCUGAGAGACCUGGGCCAAGCUUCUCUGAGGUGCUGUACUCACUACCAAGAGUAUGCAUGCUAGAGCCAACAGCAGGUCUGUGAUGCUCCCAGAUGUCCUGGGCCGCACGCGCACUACAUUGAUCCAGUGAAUGAGUUUACACUCACUUGUUGAGUCCUGCCUGGAAGUGGGUGGGAAACCCCUGGAGCCUGGAUUGUACUGGGGAUAGCUGAUUGCAACUGUCUGCCUUGAACGAGGAAUGCCUAGUAUGCUUGGGUCAUCAGCCCAAACCGAUUGUGUCCCUGCCAUUUGUACACACCGCCCGUCGUUGCUACCGAUGGCAGUAGGAUAGAGCCAUCAGGAGACUACAGUCACCUCUGGUGUUCUGAGUUGAAAUUGGGCUAUGUCCUGCUGCUAGAGGAAGCAAAAGUCGUAACAAGGUUGUUGUAGGUGAACCUGCAGAAGGAUCAAGCUUGAGUCCCGGGA